rnacentral:rRNA from 1 species
GUUGAACGCUGGCGGAAUGCUUUACACAUGCAAGUCGAACGGUAGAGGGGGCAACCCCUCGAGAGUGGCGAACGGGUGAGUAAUAUAUCGGAACGUGCCCAGUCGUGGGGGAUAACGUAGCGAAAGUUACGCUAAUACCGCAUACGAUCUAAGGAUGAAAGCGGGGGAUCGCAAGACCUCGCGCGAUUGGAGCGGCCGAUAUCAGAUUAGGUAGUUGGUGGGGUAAAGGCUCACCAAGCCAACGAUCUGUAGCUGGUCUGAGAGGACGACCAGCCACACUGGAACUGAGACACGGUCCAGACUCCUACGGGAGGCAGCAGUGGGGAAUUUUGGACAAUGGACGCAAGUCUGAUCCAGCCAUUCCGCGUGCAGGAUGAAGGCCCUCGGGUUGUAAACUGCUUUUGUACGGAACGAAAAGGUCUCUCUUAAUACGGGGGACUCAUGACGGUACCGUAAGAAUAAGUACCGGCUAACUACGUGCCAGCCGCCGCAGUAACAC